CCACAGAGGCUAGCCAUGUUCCUCCAGGGGGCCAUGGGGUCUGCCCUGGCCACCCUGUGCCUGCCUGGGGAUCAUUUUCCUAAAACCACUCCAGGAUGGGAACAGGAAACAAUGAAAGCAAAAAUCUCAUUUAAUGCUUGCUAUUUCUUCUAAGUUCUUUAUUAGUUAUUUAUUUGCUUUUAAUGUUUAGCUGCCCUGUUCGUUUGGACCGGGGAAGGCACAUUUCAAGGGCACCAGACGACUAGACAGGGUGUUUACAGUUUGCUAGGAGCUCACGAGUUCUACUUUACCAGCUCUUUCCUCAUUGAAGCAGAAGCAGGACCGAAGAGGACAGCGGGCAAGGAGUGCUGGAGAUCAAACCCAGGGCCUACUAGGCGUUUUAGGCAAGCACUCUCCAACUGCUGUUAGCCUGAAAAAGUCCCAGGUGAAGAUGAACUUCUUCACACCAUGGCUGUUGGAGGACUACGUGAACUGAAGAUGGUGCUGCAGAGGAGGCAAGGGUUGCUCUUGGAGUCUGCUGGAGGACAGAGAUGUUCUGGUCACAGGCUGUUAGUUCUCUCUGCAGUACGGAAAACAUCAAGACCAUCUCUGAGGCCCUAGGCUUUUUGUGGUGGCCUCCUCAGGUCCUGAUCCCUUUUACCUACUUUGGAGACCCGCCCAAUGAGCUGGGGAAAUUGCAGAGUAACUCCCAAAGGAAAUUCAAAAUAAACUCUGCCAGAACCUG